GGGGAAAAAUUAAUAAUUUUAUAAAUAAUAAAAAUAAUUUUAAUAUUAAAAUUGGGGGGUUUUAGUAUUAAUAAAAAAAAAAUUAUAAAAUUUAUAGUAAAUUAGUAUUGUAAAAGAAUUUUUAAAUAUUAUGAAAAUAAAUUUAAUUAAAAGUAAAAUUUAUUUUUUGUAUCUUGUGUAUCAGAGUUUAUUAAUUAAAUUAUUUUGUUUAAAAUAUUUCUCGAAUUUAAAAGAGAUAAAUAGUUAUAAGAGUUAUUAUUACAUAAAUAUUUUUAAUAAUUAUUUUGAAAUGAAAUGUUAAUCGUUUUUAAAAAUAUCUAGUUUUUUUAGAAAAAAAUUUAAUUUUAUUUUUUUUUUAUAUUUAAUUAAAUAAUUAAUUAAAUAUAAAAAAAAAAUUAUAUUUUAAGGGAUAAGCUUUAAAUUAAAUUUUUAUAAUUUCUAAUUAUUAAAAUUAAAAUUUUUAAAAUUUAUAUUGUUUAUCAUUUUUAAUUUAUUAUAAAUAAUUUUAAUAAAAAUAAAAUUUUAUAUAUUAAAUUUAAUUUUUUAUAAAAAAAAAAUAUUUUAAUUAAAAAAAAUUAAGUAUAAUGAUAAAAUUAGUAUUUAAAUUAAAAUAAUAUAAAUAGUUAGUGAAAGUUAAUUUUAAAGAAUUCGGCAAAUGUAAAUAUUCACUUGUUUAUCAAAAACCUGUCUUUUUGUUAAUAAUUUAAAGUCUAAUCUGCCCCCUGAUUAAUAUAUUAAAGGGCUGCAGUAUAUUGACUGUACAAAGGUAGCAUAAUCAAUAGUCUUUUAAUUGAUGACUUGUAUGAAAGAUUGAAUGAAAUAUUAGCUGUUUCAAUUUUAAUAAAAAAAAUUAAUUUUUUAGUUAAAAAGCUAAAAUAAAUUUAAAAGACGAGAAGACCCUAUAGAGUUUAAUAAAUAAAAUUAUUAGAAUUAUUUAUAAAAUUAUUAAUUAAAAUAAAAUUAUAUAUUUUAUUGGGGUGAUAAAAAAAUAAAAAAAACUUUUUUUUUAUAAAUUUCAUAGAUAAUUGAAUAAAUGAUCCAAAAAUAUUUUGAUUAAAAGAAAAAAUUACCUUAGGGAUAACAGCGUAAUUUUUUUUUUUAGUUCAAAUAAGAAAAAAAGUUUGCGACCUCGAUGUUGGAUUAAGAUAAAAUUUAAAUGCAAAAGUUUAAAAUUUUGAUCUGUUCGAUCAUUAAAAUCUUACAUGAUCUGAGUUCAAACCGGUGUGAGCCAGGUUGGUUUCUAUCUUUAAAUUAAAAAAAAUAUUUUAGUACGAAAGGAAUUAAUAUUUAAAUUAGAUUUAUAAUAGAAAGAAUAUUAAUAAAAUUAUUUAUAAAUAAUUUAAUAUUAAAAAUAAUAAUUUUUAUUUAA
rnacentral:rRNA from 1 species